UACAGAGGUCUCAACCGUUGUUCGGAUUCAUUGGGCGUAAAGGGUGCGUAGGCGGUCGUGCAAGUCGGAUGUGAAAUCUCAGGGCUCAACCCUGAAACUGCAUUCGAUACUGCGUGGCUAGAGUGCUGGAGAGGAGACUGGAAUUUACGGUGUAGCAGUGAAAUGCGUAGAUAUCGUAAGGAAGACCAGUGGCGAAGGCGAGUCUCUGGACAGCAACUGACGCUGAGGCACGAAAGCUAGGGGAGCAAACAGG
rnacentral:rRNA from 1 species